GGCAGCAUGGUUUAGUGGUUUGAGUGUAAGACUAGGACACUGAAGAUUGGGAUUCAAUUCCGUGUUCAGCCA